rnacentral:rRNA from 1 species
UACGGGGGGGGCAAGCGUUGUUCGGAAUUACUGGGCGUAAAGGGCUCGUAGGCGGCCAACUAAGUCAGCCGUGAAAUCCCUCGGCUUAACCGGGGAACUGCGUCUGAUACUGGAUGGCUUGAGUUUGGGAGAGGGAUGCGGAAUUCCAGGUGUAGCGGUGAAAUGCGUAGAUAUCUGGAGGAACACCGGUGGCGAAGGCGGCAUCCUGGACCAAUAUUGACGCUGAGGAGCGAAAGCCAGGGGAGCAAACGGG